CUGAACCAGCCAAGUAGCGUGAAGGAUGACUGCCCUAUGGGUUGUAAACUUCUUUUAAACGCGAAUAACCUCAUCCACGUGUGGGUGUCUGCAUGUACAGUAUGAAUAAGCAUCGGCGAACUCCGUGCCAGCAGCCGCGGUAAUACGGAGGAUGCGAGCGUUAUCCGGAUUUAUUGGGUUUAAAGGGAGCGUAGACGGGUCCUUAAGUCAGUUGUGAAAGUUUGCGG
rnacentral:rRNA from 1 species